AGGAGGAACAACCGCAGUGGCGGGGCCAGCUCUGCAGCCCUGGAGUCAGCUCCCGCAGUAGCUCCAGAGCUCUCCGUCUGCAGGGCCUGGAGGCUCCGGGCGGGG
rnacentral:pre_miRNA from 1 species